rnacentral:rRNA from 1 species
GAGGGGUAUAGUUCUUCGGAACUAGAGACCGGCGCACGGGUGCGUAACGCGUAUGCAAUCUACCUUUUACAGAGGGAUAGCCCAGAGAAAUUUGGAUUAAUACCUCAUAGUAUAAUGACUCGGCAUCGAGACAUUAUUAAAGUCACAACGGUAAAAGAUGAGCAUGCGUCCCAUUAGCUAGUUGGUAAGGUAACGGCUUACCAAGGCUACGAUGGGUAGGGGUCCUGAGAGGGAGAUCCCCCACACUGGUACUGAGACACGGACCAGACUCCUACGGGAGGCAGCAGUGAGGAAUAUUGGACAAUGGGCGCAAGCCUGAUCCAGCCAUGCCGCGUGCAGGAUGACGGUCCUAUGGAUUGUAAACUGCUUUUAUACAGGAAGAAACCCUGGUUCGUGAACCAGCUUGACGGUACUGUAAGAAUAAGGAUCGGCUAACUCCGUGCCAGCAGCCGCGGUAAUACGGAGGAUCCAAGCGUUAUCCGGAAUCAUUGGGUUUAAAGGGUCCGUAGGCGGUUUAGUAAGUCAGUGGUGAAAGCCCAUCGCUCAACGGUGGAACGGCCAUUGAUACUGCUAAACUUGAAUUAUUAGGAAGUAACUAGAAUAUGUAGUGUAGCGGUGAAAUGCUUAGAGAUUACAUGGAAUACCAAUUGCGAAGGCAGGUUACUACUAAUUGAUUGACGCUGAUGGACGAAAGCGUGGGUAGCGAACAGGAUUAGAUACCCUGGUAGUCCACGCCGUAAACGAUGGAUACUAGCUGUUGGAAGCAAUUUCAGUGGCUAAGCGAAAGUGAUAAGUAUCCCACCUGGGGAGUACGUUCGCAAGAAUGAAACUCAAAGGAAUUGACGGGGGC